rnacentral:lncRNA from 10 species
AUGUAUAGGGGUAUGGGUAUGGGUAACAAUUUUUGGCCUGAGAGAACAGUAGAUCUUCUAGUUUGGUUCAUUGUAUCUGCUCUGUACUAGGAACCAGAGUUGAAAGGUGGAUACGUCCAAGGCUUUAAAGUCUGUUGAGGUAGAGAUAGGCAAGUGCAAUGAGAGGUGAAAGAUGGAGAGGUUGAUUUGGAUUGUGACAAACUGGAAGUGGCUUUGUAGAGUUGGUAACCUUUGACUUAUUCUUGAAGGGUGAGUAGAUUUGAGGGGCACAGAACUCAAUUCUGAAUUCUGGUUUGUUAGGAAGUAGGAACUAGGAGGACCUAUUAGAAAGCGUCUCAUGAGCUGGGCCAGUGGCAUGUGCCU